CAUUCUACUAUAAAAUCUGCCAAUAUCUGGGCUUUCACUGCCGGUCUAGGUCGAUAGUUGAUGUCGAAUUCUGUGAGCUCGAUCGCCCAUUUCGCUAUCCUCCCAGAGGUAUCUGCCUGGUGCAGAAUCACCUUGAUCGGCUGGUCAGUGAGCAACGUUACGGUGUGCCCUUGAAAGUAGGGUCGGAGCCUCCGGACUGCAAUCAAUAGGGCGUAAGUUAGUUUCUCUAAUUUAGUAUACCUG
rnacentral:lncRNA from 1 species